CUUUCCUAGUAUCACUUGUCAUCCUAUAUUCCUGUCGGGACACUGCCUGGGCGCUCACCGAUGAUUUCACCGCGGGGCUUAAGUGGCAGCAGGCGCGCUUUGGGCCAGACCCAGGCGGCACAGGCUGUCUUUGCGUCCGGAGGACGUGUCGCCAGGCAGGACGGCUCCGAGGGCGCGGAGCCCACUCUCGCUGACACUUUGCAUUUUGCGUGUGAUUCUGUCUGUUGAGGCAAACUCUGCGUCCCAAGUGGAAGCCGCCAGAGCAUCGUGAGAGAGGACUUAGGGAGCAGCGCGAGGUCAGAAGUGAAAAGUGUGGCAAAAAGACCCGAAGCUGCAGGUCCUCCGGCUGUGCCCCCGAGUGGCCUGGCUCCCUGUGCCUUAGCCUGCCGGCACCUGCCGUGUUCUGCCUGGAGCUGCCCGCUGGCCACGCCUCGAUGAUGAGCUGGCUGCAUAGACACCACAGCCUCCUCAUGUCUCGGAUGCUUGUGCCCCAGCCCUCACCGCAUGGCCCGCCUCUGCAGGAGCCAAGGCAUCAGCUGUCUGCCCUUCUUCUGCAAACAAUGCCACACAAGAGACACAAUCACAGCUAACGGUUGCACACUAAGCUCUCAUUCAUUGUCACAGACCAGGUGUUUUGGUGUCACUGACCCCCGAGCCCAGACAUGUGGGCCAGACCCCAGGGAGCCAGUCAAGCACGAUGGAUGGAAGCACAUUCUGUGGCUCUCAGAGCAUGUGGUUCUCUUCUGCAGUGGAGACGGACCAGUUCUCCUGGGCCCUGCCGUGAUAAUAGCCGACGCGGUCACGCUGCAUGACAUCGGAUGCUGACGGAGAUCUGCCCGAAGGCCCCGGGGCUUCUGACGUGUGGAUGACAGCUCGCGUCGGUCAGGGUGCUGGUGUCACCGCGUCAGCUUUGGGUUGCCGAGUGCCAGGGGUCUUCUGCUCUCUGUUUCUGCCACAGCAACGUGAUAAGUGCGGUUCCGUGUGCAGAGAUAAGGGACCAUACUCGAUAAGGCUUCCACUGCCAUUGGUGCUCUAAUCGGACCACUAGUAAACAGCAGCUGACUGAUGAGUUUCCGGUACUUUCUCCUUCCCUCUGACGAGAGCCAGGCGGCUCUUCAGGGGACAGCAAGCAGCCAGGCGCCGUGGGCGGUGGGGUCUCCAUGGCCUGAAGCACAGAGCACAGCUUUCACAGCCACUAGAAUUUCUGUACUGAGGGUUCCCCUAUAACCCACAGUGGCUCCCCAAAUUGUUCAGAGAUGGGCCAGGGCUUCAAGGACAUGAAACGGGAAAAACCAAACACACCCAAAGUAGCACUGGUAACUUAGGAUGGAAAUAAUAUUUUAGUAUAUUUCUAAGAAAUUGGCAUAAAUUUUAGAACUUGUGGAAUCAAUUCAUAAUUAAUAAUUAACUGAUAUUUUACAUU
rnacentral:lncRNA from 12 species